UACGAAGGGGGGCUAGCGUUACUCGGAUUGACUGGGCGUAAAGGGCGCGUAGGCGGUUCGUACAGUCAGACGUGAAAUUCCUGGGCUCAACCUGGGGGCUGCGUUUGAUACGUGCGGGCUUGAGUUCGGAAGAGGGUCGUGGAAUUCCCAGUGUAGAGGUGAAAUGCGCAGAUAUCGGGAGGAACACCAAUGGCGAAAGGCAGCUCGCUGGGACGUGACUGACGCUGAGACGCGAAAGCGUGGGGAGCAAACAGG
rnacentral:rRNA from 1 species